UACUCUUAAGUAUCGGGAAAUUGAUUUCUGAAUUUCGAAUGUCUUUGAUUAAAUUGUUUGAAUUUGAUUGUGGCAUGUGGGGGUAAAAUAAUAGAUCAUGGAGAAGUUGCAUCGAUUUGAAAUUUCAGGUUUGGACAACCUGUAUGGAAUUGUUGAUUUGAAACAUCCUAAACCUUGUACACCUUACUGUAAAUCAAAUUCAGGUAUGAGAUACCGAGAUUCCCGGCUAUUUCCGUCCAAAUUUCGCCGAGUCAACCAAGAAUUUCGGCCGAAUUCCGUCCAGGCGAAUCUAAAUUUUUGCUAACUUCAGUGCCGAAAACGGAGAUUGCGGUGAGAUUUCGUCGAUCUCGGCUAAAUCAGAAGCGGGUAGAAACAGGGUUUAACUUUCCCCUUUCGAGUUUCAUCAUUCCUCGCGGUCCUCAUUCCAACCCGCCUCUUCUUUCCCCAAACCCUAGUUUUCGAUUCCUUCUUUUUCAUUUGAUUCGAUUAGCAAUAUCGUUUCUUUCUCUUAGAAUCAUGCCAUCUUAAUUACCAAAGAUUUGCAUUGAAAACGAGUUCCGAUUUGGUCAUCUAUUAAACACUAUUCCACUUAUUUGUAUGGCCAAAUCAGUAGCAUAUUUAGGGUUCUGCUGCAUCAAUUUUUUAUGUAAUUUCAUCAGUCGAUGUUUAGGGCAUUAUAUUUGUGUCAAAUUUGGAUGUCGCUGAUAAGUUUUAUCUAGAGCCUAUUCACGGCGAGCUGGUCGUAGGGUUUAUCUUGAUUAAAUUCGCACUCGAUUAAGUUGAUUACACUCUGUCUAUUUAAUUAUUGACAUGAGCCCUUUUCAAUCUACUGAAUCAUCGGAUUAAUAUUGGGAGGUCAACCUAUGCAUCUGCUUCAGAGUGUUUUUCUUAGUUAUCUUAUCUUGUUGGUGGUCUAAUUCGUCCAUCAGACAACAUCGAAGUAACAUUCCAUCUUCAGUGAUCCCUAGUUACUGCAUGCACCUUGGUGUUGUUGCAAUUGCAUGACAUGCUGUCUCCACUGCUGUUUUAUUGUUGGGACUUACUUUAGGUAUCUAAACCCUGUUACAGGAUGAGCGCAGAAGAGUUUACUGCUUCAGAUGGUGAGUACAUAUGGAGCCUUGAAUGAGGUUCAAAAUGAGAUUCCAACGGGACGAAGUUCCAGAGGGAAGGUUUACAAGCACUGUAGUUGGAACUGGAGAUGCUGAUCCAAACAUGUGAAAUGGAUCAAAAUGGAGAUUCUUCAAGGUUUGCUGGGAUGACACUUCUGUCAUACCUUGUGUGGAGUGAGCCUCUCCCGGGAGAUUAGAACCAGCCUUGUCCUUUCCUGCACUGAAUCCCCUUGCAGUACCCAGGCCAGAGAUGCCACAUGCAAACAUAGUUUCAUAAGGGAAGGUAAUGAUCCAGCACUGCAUCUGAGGUCCUUGUUUUUUACUUUCUUGCUAUAUGACUUCAGGAGUAAAGAUGAUAUAAUUUGAUCUUUAUGCAGAGUGAAUUCAAGCUAUCUGUAACUUUUUGAGAAUCUAGAUUAUAAAUGAACUGCAUAGUCUUUUACA